GCGAGAUUGUGCCACUGUACUCCAGCCUGGCGACAGAGCGAGACUCCAUCUCAAAAAAAUAAAAUAAAAUAAACAAACAACAACAAAAAAGAUAGUAAAUAAAGAGCCCCCACUCAGCAAAGCUUCUAGCAGUACCCUUUGCAAAGAUGUCUUCUCUCAAAGGCAUUUAUUAUCCAUUUUUAAACAACUAAUGCUACGUUUCUAACAUCUGUAAUCACCAGUGACCAUUCCUCUAAUUUUUUGCCCUGUGUUAUUUUAUUUAUUUAAUGCUCCAGCACUAACACUGCCUUCCCCUCCGGCUUCCCCACUGUGGUUGGGCGGCUGUCCUUAACUUUCUUCUUUUGGACUUCAUUCCAUCAGGUCACAGGCAAGACUAAACCAACAGCAGUAGAGACCUGCUGUCUUAGCAGAGACAGAAAAAGAAAUUCUUUUACUGGGAAGCAAGGGAUAUUUCUAACUCAGCAUUCCCUGCUGGGUAGCUGUCAGCUCCGUCUGGAAAUGGUGAAAGUUACUGAUCAGAAUAACAAGUAAUAAUUUCUUGGUAAUCUUCCCCUCUGUGAAGGGAAAAACAAUAAAUGUUUCUCUGUAGUUACAACACACUUGUUUAUCCAUUUAUUUAUCCAAAUGGCUUGGGAGUCUCAGAGGAGCCUGACAUUUGAUGGUGCCAAAGCUCUAUCCAUCCUUAGCCCUUUCUCCAUGAAACCUUCCCAGCUGUGAUCUGACUCUUUUUUCU
rnacentral:lncRNA from 1 species